rnacentral:rRNA from 1 species
AUUGAACGCUGGCGGCAGGCCUAACACAUGCAAGUCGAGCGGAUGAAGGGAGCUUGCUCCUGGAUUCAGCGGCGGACGGGUGAGUAAUGCCUAGGAAUCUGCCUGGUAGUGGGGGAUAACGUCCGGAAACGGGCGCUAAUACCGCAUACGUCCUGAGGGAGAAAGUGGGGGAUCUUCGGACCUCACGCUAUCAGAUGAGCCUAGGUCGGAUUAGCUAGUUGGUGGGGUAAAGGCCUACCAAGGCGACGAUCCGUAACUGGUCUGAGAGGAUGAUCAGUCACACUGGAACUGAGACACGGUCCAGACUCCUACGGGAGGCAGCAGUGGGGAAUAUUGGACAAUGGGCGAAAGCCUGAUCCAGCCAUGCCGCGUGUGUGAAGAAGGUCUUCGGAUUGUAAAGCACUUUAAGUUGGGAGGAAGGGCAGUAAGUUAAUACCUUGCUGUUUUGACGUUACCAAAAAAAUAAGCACCGGCUAACUUCGUG